UACGGAGGAUGCAAGUGUUAUCCGGAAUCACUGGGCGUAAAGCGUCUGUAGGUGGUUUAAUAAGUCAACUGUUAAAUCUUGAGGCUCAACCUCAAAAUCGCAGUCGAAACUAUUAGGCUAGAGUAUAGUAGGGGUAAAGGGAAUUUCCAGUGGAGCGGUGAAAUGCGUAGAGAUUGGAAAGAACACCGAUGGCGAAGGCGCUUUACUGGGCUAUUACUAACACUCAGAGACGAAAGCGAGGGUAGCAAAUGGG
rnacentral:rRNA from 1 species